GACGAACGCUGGCGGCGUGCUUAACACAUGCAAGUCGAACGGAAAGGCUCCAGCUUGCUGGAGUACUCGAGUGGCGAACGGGUGAGUAACACGUGGGUAAUCUGCCCUGCACUCUGGGAUAAGCCUGGGAAACUGGGUCUAAUACUGGAUAUGACCUUUCUCCUUAUGGGGUUUUGUGGAAAGUUUUUCGGUGUAGGAUGAGCCCGCGGCCUAUCAGCUUGUUGGUGGGGUGAUGGCCUACCAAGGCGCCGACGGGUAGCCGGCCUGAGAGGGUUAUCGGCCACAUUGGGACUGAGAUACGGCCCAGACUCCUACGGGAGGCAGCAGUGGGGAAUAUUGCACAAUGGGCGGAAGCCUGAUGCAGCGACGCCGCGUGAGGGAUGACGGCCUUCGGGUUGUAAACCUCUUUCAGCAGGGACGAAGCGUAAGUGACGGUACCUGCAGAAGAAGCACCGGCUAACUACGUG
rnacentral:rRNA from 1 species